UUUCUUAGGAGUGAAAAUAUGAAGUAAAUAUGGCUUAGUGUUAAAUCUGAUAGAGCCAGGUGGUGGGAGGAUUUUUAUUGUCUGUGCUUGUCCGUAUGUUUGAUAUUUCCGAUAAAAUCGAUCAAUUAAUGAAAAAAGCUCCUCCCACUCCAAAUGACUCACCUGUCCCGCGUUCAGUCUUUGCUCCCCAGGACUUGCCCCCUCUUCUUCAAGGAGCUUAGUUGGAAGAAUCUAAAGCACAAAGUGGAAACUUCCACACUUCUCCCAGGCUAAGCCCCUCCGUGAAGUCCUUUCCUUAACACCACAUCCUACACCAAGGACCUUCGGUCUGCGUAGGGCACAGUGUCAGUCUGAUGCAAGCAUGCUGUUUAGGAGCCGCACUGGCCGGGUCUGAACGCUGGCUCUGCCACUUGUCUGCGGGACCUGGGACAAGUUCCUUCGGCUCUCUGUGCGCCAGGAGGGAGGGAGUGCCAGCAGAGAGGGUGGCCCAGGUGGCUGGAGAGGGGAGCAGGGGCAGCUCCGGGGGGCAGGUGACCCUCACCCUCUGCUGAGCUGGGCUACUUGGCACAGACGGACCAAAUCAUAUUUCUCUGUGGCGGCAGGAAAGGGCCACAUGGGGGAUUGAGUUAUCUUAGCAGCAGUCCUUUCCGUUUCAGUCCUACCGUGUGUGCAUGCUCACUGGGGACACCAAGAGAGUCUAUGUGAAGCAAAUUUGCUGUAGAUCGCAGCAGACCCUUGGCUGGGGCAGGAAAGAAAGCAAAGACUCCCCAGCCAGUUGCAGACCAACCGACAGGCCCUGCCUCUGAAAACACUUUCAUGGGUUUCCCUUUUUACACCAAGAGUUUCAGGGAAGCAUGGAUACGCUGCCCACCCACACUCUCUGCCGAGCGCUCCGGAAUGGCCACGAACCCCUGGCACCUCCAGGCUCCCGCCUCUUGGAGGUGCUACGGCCGCAUCCCUGGGGCGCCCGUGGCCUGAAGAGACCCCAUGGUCUCUUCCAUCCUGUCUGCUUUAUCUACCCCUACAUACUGUCACGUGCAUGGCCUUCUGUGAUGCUUGUGGGCCUUGCUGAGAUGGGGGAAGGGGGAGAGUUAUGGGUUGAAGUGGGGUCCCCCCUCCAAUUCAUAUGUUAAAGUCUUAACCUCCAGAACCUCAGAAUGUGACCCGAUUUGGGGAUGGAGUCAUUGCAGAUGGAACGGGUUAAGACGGGUGGGCCCUUCUCCAAGAUGACCGAAGUCCUUAUAAAAAGGGGAGACGUGGAGACAGGUGCACACACGGAGAGCACCAUGUGAAGAUGAAGUCAGCGGUCGGAGUGAUGUGUUGACAAGCCAAGGAAGGCCCAGGACCGCGCUGGAGGCCGCAGCAGGGUCGUGGAACAGACGCCCCACUGCCCCCGAGAGGAACCAGCCCUGCGGACGCCUGGGUCUUGGACUCCGGUACCCAGCACUGGGAGGCAGUGCACUUCUGUUGCUAAAGCUCCCCAGUCUGUGGGCCGUCUGUCUGGCAGCCGCAGCGAACUAAUCCAGGGACUAAUAUUACCCCUUUAUGACGGAGGCACUGGGGACCCCCGAGAGCGGGGCUUGCUCAAGGUCACACAGCUGCUAAGAAAACCGAGCUAACACUUGAUUGCCUCGACACUGUCACGGGACGUUUGGCGCUUUAUAGGAGAGAGUCAGGGGCUGGGAGGAAAAACAUAUUGCAAUUUAUUCUUCUAUUAAGCAUGACCGGUGACAACUGCUUUCUGGGUGGUCUGUUCUGAGCUGGAUCUAGACGGUAUUUGGGGAAAACAAUACUUUCCACUUAUCACCUGUACGAGAUCAUAUAACAAGCCAAGUUAAUGUCCUGGGACUCGUCAUAGUGCCUGCAGCCUUCAGACACGCUGUCAGCACGCUGGGUAAUUAGAACGAGCCUGGCAUGUUUGGCGGCUUAAUUUACGGCACCUUCGGCAUUUUGGCACAGCCUUGGCCUUCUGAUCCAGGCGUCCUUUCUGCUUUGUAUCCUUGGGUGUGGAUGAUUCUCAACUUCUUGCCUUGGGAGCAACCCCCCUGCUCCUGAGACUCUGGUUCUGACACAGCUGGUUCCCACGCUGUGCUGUUGGCUGGAGCAUGUCGAGGGGGGAAGGACAGGGCCCCUGGGGUCCACAAACACGUAUUCCAACGCCAGCUGUCCAUCCAGAGCUGUGUGGCCUUGGCCAAGCCACAUCCCCUUUUGUGCCCUCGUUUUCCCACCAAUAACUUGAGGGGCUUGGACGGGAGGAUUAGCUCUUUCCAAACUGGGAGGAGGUGGGUGAUCUGCAAAGAAGGUAAAAGAGGCCAAGUGUGGGGCUGGCUGACCAGCUAUUUUUGGUGUUUAAAACUUCCUUAUAAAGUGGUGGGUUUUUCUCCAACAUGAGCCUGAGCUGGACACCCACCUGUCAGGCAUCCGUCAGUCCAGCUUGGUCCUGUGAUCUUGCCCAUGCUCACUGGACCCUCUUAGGUGAAAAAGGCAGGAAACAUGAAUUAAUUAUGAUUUGUACAAUUUAAUUGGCAAGCAACUCUUCAAAUAGAAGUCUUUUGGGGUGGUCUUAUUAAAAGGCAUGUUUGAUUCUAAAAAGGUGGAGAACAACUGGGCUGAGGACCCCAGAUUGCUGCCUGCUCUAAAAGCCCGUGAUCCCAGCCCUACACUGGAUUGGUGCCCUCAGGCUCAGUGAUCCAGGUGGUGGGAGCCCAGCAUCUGUGAUCCGUCUUCGUCAACUGCUGUGUCCCCUAACUUCCCUCCCUCCCCUGGUCAUGCCGUAUCCUCCUCCCUCCUUGGGUUAUAACUGAAGGUCAUCUGCUAUGAAAGGGUUUCCAUCUCCAAUUUGUUGCCAGUUGCUAAGAUCAUCCUUGGCAAUUUCUGUAUAUAUCUUCGUGUUGAGAAUGACUUUUGAAUAUGUCUUUGUGUCACACGUGGGUACCUUCCCCGUAAGAAGUGUGACUCCUUGAGCAUCGGGAUAGAAUUACUUACGGCCUGUAACUGGAUCUGGGGCCAUGGAUUCUUCCAGCCCGUGGCCAGGACCUCUGCCUCUGGCACUGUGGUGUCAAGCUCAGUGACGGAGAGUCUCUGAGGGUGAAUCAGUGAUGGCUGGUGCAGCUAGUCGGGGGCCCGGCCGGGAAGCAAGCCCUGGCCCGACUGAUUUUGUAAGCAGUGCUCCUUUCUCUGUGGUGGCAUCAUGCCAUGCCUGUAGGAGGUGGACCCAGAGGGCAGGGCUGGCUUCAAGGGGCCUAGUAACAAAAUAUAACCUUCGUGGGGAAAGAGAAGUGCCUUCCUCAGCUCAGGGGGUGUCCAAAGGAGCAGCAGGGGUAAGGCCAACUUUAGAGGCAGGUGGAGCAGUCUGCUUCAAGUCUGGCCGAGGGCUGACUCAGGGGUCCGCACUGGUGCAGCAUGGAAAGCCAUGAAAUCACAGACAUUGCUAUUGUCCACCCACUUCCCUCUUUUUCUCUAGUGAUAGAAUUCCCUCCCUUUUUUAAAAAAUUAGGCACUUAGCUGCACCUCACAAAGGCUACUUUUCCCUGGCUCCCUGGCUAUGUGACUAAGUCCUAGCCAACAGGAUGCAAGCCACAGUGAGGACGUUUUCUUAAAGAGAAGGAGUGUUCCUUUUUCUUCCCCUUUCCUUCUUGCUGCUCCCUGGAAGGUAGACGUGAUGGCUGGUAUCAGAGCAGCAAUCUUGGCCUUGAAGUGACCUUGUAAGCCACACCUGGUGGGACCACAAAAUAGAACGCGCUUCUUCAUGACCCUGUGGGGUGUCACACCAGUCCCAGUCCAACUACCUCUGGACUUCUGUGUGAGACAGAACUUCUUUCUCCAAUAGUGAAAAGCCUUACUCUCAGGACUAAUAGCAGAAUGGAGAUGACAGAAGAAAGAAUCAGUGACUGUAAAGGCACACCAAUAGAAAUAAUCCAAUCUGAAGAAGAAAGAGAAAGAAAGAUUGAAAAAAAUGAACAAAACCUCCAGGAUUUGUAGGACACUAUCACAGGUCUCAUAUCCACGUUAUUGAAGUCUCAGAGGGAGAGGAGAAAAAGAAUGGGGCAGAAAAAACAUUUGAAGAAAUAAUGACUGAAAACUGCUCAAAUCUGGUGAAAGACAUAAAUUUACAAAUUCAAGAAAUCCAGGGAACCCCAAGAAGAUAAAUGUAAAGAAAACCACAUCUAGAUGCAUUAUAGUCAGAAUACUGAAAACUAGAGAGAAAGAGAAUAUUUGAAAACAGCUAGAGAAAAAUAACACAUGACAUAGUGGGCAACGGUAAUUUUGAUACCCACUGACUUCUUAUGAAACAACAUGGAAGCCAGAAAAUAGUGGAACAUCUUUAAAGUGCCCAAGGGAAAAAUUGUCAACCUAGAAUUCUAUACCCAGCAAGUAUAUCCCUCAAAAAAGAAAGCGAGGUAGACAUUCUUUUACAUUGCCAGCAGAUCUUCACUGGAAGAAAGGCAAAAGCAAACUCUUCAAGCUGAAGGGAAAUUAUACCAGAGGAAGUGCGGACCUCCAGGAAGGAAUAAAGAACAUCGGGAAUGGUAAAUAUCAGGGCCACUAUAAUAGAAAAUCCUUUGCCAACAUUGAUGAAGAACAGCAAAGAUGGAUAUGAAUAAGCAACAGCAGGAACUAAAAAUGGACCCCAGCUGCAACAAGAGGAAAAUGGAAGAAUAAAUGGUGACUUUGAAAAAAACAUUCACAUCAAAAUUUUCACUCAUACCUUCAGCUUUUUGUGUUGACAAGUAUACUAUAA